rnacentral:rRNA from 1 species
UACAGAGGUCUCAAGCGUUGUUCGGAUUCAUUGGGCGUAAAGGGUGCGUAGGCGGCGCGGUAAGUCGGGUGUGAAAUCUCGGAGCUUAACUCCGAAACUGCAUUCGAUACUGGCGUGCUUGAGGACUGGAGAGGAGACGUGGAAUUCAUGGUGUAGCAGUGAAAUGCGUUGAUAUUGGAAGGAACGCCGGAGGCGAAAGCGACGCACUGGAUCUCUUCUGACGCUGAGGCGCGAAAGCUAGGGGAGCAAACGGG